rnacentral:ncRNA from 1 species
AUAAUGUUCGAUUAAAAGGGAAUCCGGUGAGAAUCCGGGACGAUCCCGUCACUGUGAUAGCUAAUCCAAAACAUAUAUGUCACUGGAGUGAAGGCUCUGGGAAGGCGUUUUGGGUGUUGAUGCUUAAGUCAGGAGACCUGCUUAUUUUCUU